GGGGAGAGAGGGGUCGUCCAAACCACCCCCCCUCCCCCUGCUCUCUCUCUCUCUCUCUCUACAAGAUGGAGGGAACUCAGCAGGUGAUCCCCAAAAGGUGACACCCCUAUGUUGAUAGCCAUCACCUCUACAAAACUAGCAUCACCAAAUGCCAAAGGCCCCCGAAAAUGUCAACCUGAUCUCGCCAUGCUGGUUCGGGAUAGUCCCACCGAUACCGGACGGGCCAGGAUUUUCCAAUCCCCAUUGAGCUGCUGUCAAAAUUUAGCUUCCACCAACCGGGCUGGUGAAGGAACUGCAAAAUUAGCCUUCUAGGCACCUAUGCUCAAUCUGGAUAACCACUAAAAAAAUAAUAAUAAAUAAAUUCUGGAGAUGCACAAUGUUCACCCCUUUUAACUCUUUCAUCAUGACAGACCUUGCAAGAAGAAAUCUAAUAUUCUCUGCAACCACCCAGAAAAAAUUUAUUGCCCUCUGAAAAUUCAAUUACUAUGCACACCAUUAUAGCACUAAGAAGAGCCCUCUGUAACAAUCCUUCCCUGGAUUUGAAGGGGCCACUUGGUCACCCUUGUAAGAGAUCCCUCACAAAGACGAGCUGAUAUUUCCAGCUUUUUUGGAUCUUUACCAUUAUUAAGCUGUAGUGAAGUAUUUGAAUGUUUUCUCGGUGAAUUUUGCAGCAUGGUGUUCAUCUCAAUCUAUUGAGCAGUUUCUUCCUGUUCUUGGACAAAUAACUUUUAAGUCUCUAUGACAUGCUUUACAUGGUGAUCUAUGGCAGUAUCAGCUCAAAACAUCUCUAUGACAUGCUUUACAUGGUCAUCUAUGGCAGUAUCAGCUCAAAAGUCAAAACAGUUUUAUUGUGAUUUGUUGUGCUCCGGAUAUCCUUUGUCUUCAAAUGCCAUGUAAGGAAGGAUUAGCUCUGAAGGCUGAAAUGAGCAGCACCAUAAGCCACAUUGAGAACAUGGUCUCCCCUCUCGUACAUCCACACCCACAUAGUAUUCUGUUUUGUGCAUUUAUAGAAGUAUACUUAUCGAUCUUAAUGCACAGGCUUCGGAAUUUUAUAUAUUUGCAGAGGUUUCUUUAACAGCAAAGAAGGCAUUGAAGAUGCCAUCCGGAUUGUUAGCAGCAAUGCAGCAAUCUAUUUGCAGUCGAUGCUCUCCAGAAGUUAUGCUGUUUCUAGUCUUGAAGCUUGUAUAGUAGGAAUUCAGCACAACAGUCCAUUUGAUUUUGCACUAGUGGAUUUUGCUAGGAUGCACCCCAGCAGAUUCCCUUUAUUAAUCCAAUUCCUUGAAGCGUGGUUGAAGAAUGAACUGAAGCAAAGACCAAAAAAUCUCAGUGCAUUGGAGGUUCAUGCCCUGAUCAUCAAGGUCAUUGGAGUGCAAUAGCCUUCCUAUCGGUGGCCCGAAACAGGUGCAAUUAACUCAAAAUGUGAUUCAGUGGUCUACAUUUAAUGUGGAUACCUCCCGGCAUUAUUAUCAGUAUAGCCCAUCCAUGUGGUAGCCCACUGAUUAAUCGGUUGCAGUCACCAUACAUGCUGGCCACAUGGACUGUGGAGAGAGCAUUCAUGGAAUGCCUAUGAAGCGUGCAUCAUGAUAGCAUCUUCAGUGGAAAUACAUUCUGGUCUUUCAUUUUUCCUUGAACAAAAUCAAUAAUGAAGAGUGCAUACAAAGCUGGGUUUUAUUCAUCCGGCGAAAAGGAGAUUGAGACAGAAAUUGAACAAAAUCCUUGAGCAAUGCUGGCAGAAGUGGGACAUAUUGCCAGAGAUUUCAUGGAGAAACCAGACCAUAUCAGUUGGUUUUUGCUCCAGAAACUAAGAGCAGAGAGAGGAUGCAUGGCCCUUGGCCAGCUUGAAGAAUUCCGAAUCUGGCCCCUUUCGAAGACCUGCCAGCUCUAGUUACUAGUGAAUUGGGCAAUGGAAUAGCAGCACAUCCAAGUUUAUGGUAGAGAUGGAUGAGAGGAAGAAAGCAACAACUUCAUGCUAUGCUUAGCACACAUCUACCCUCGCUGGGUGAUUGGCAUCAUUGAUCUGGUGGGCAACUGCAUGGAUGGGACAUGUCCCAAAAAUCAGUCAUUGGAUGACCUGCCUCAUCACCACCACCACCACCACCACCACCACCAUCAUUUUAGCCUCGUACUAUGGGGGGGAAAAGGCCUCUCUAACUAAUUUGGGGUUGGCUUUUAAAUGGUGGAUUAGCAAAGUUUUUGGAUUGGCAAUCCACCAGAUGUCAACCUUGUUUUCAACGAGUAUGUUAGGGGCUCAUUGAAAUUGGACACUUUUGUGUGUGUGUGCGUGUGUGUGUGUGUCAACUCCUUCCAACCGUGCAUUUGCGGGAUGGGGAUGCAAUGUCUCUGUCUGAUUGAUUUAAUUUUUGGGUUAUGGUUCAACUACUUUGUGGCCCACUAGAUUAAUGGUGCAGUCACCCUCGGUAUGUCGGCCGUCCGUACAGAUGGAAGAGAAGUCAUACCAGCUUACCGUGCCUAGCAUUGCUCCCAUAUUUUAUGAAUUGUGUGCAGACUGGUUGGUUGGUAUCAUUAACCAUCAUGUUUUGGCAUGGCCCGCUUGAUUUGACAAUACAGACUAUUUAUGGACCA